rnacentral:rRNA from 1 species
UACGAAGGGGGCUAGCGUUGCUCGGAAUCACUGGGCGUAAAGGGUGCGUAGGCGGGUUUUAAGUCAGAGGUGAAAUCCUGGAGCUCAACUCCAGAACUGCCUUUGAUACUGAAAGUCUUGAGUAUGGGAGAGGUGAGUGGAACUGCGAGUGUAGAGGUGAAAUUCGUAGAUAUUCGCAAGAACACCAGUGGCGAAGGCGGCUCACUGGCCCAUUACUGACGCUGAGGCACGAAAGCGUGGGGAGCAAACAGG